rnacentral:rRNA from 1 species
GAGUUUGAUCAUGGCUCAGAACGAACGCUGGCGGCAUGCCUAACACAUGCAAGUCGAACGCCCCGCAAGGGGAGUGGCGAACGGGUGAGUAACGCGUGGGAACCUACCCAGCAGUUGGGGAUAACCGCGGGAAACUGCGGCUAAUACCGAAUACGUCCUUUGGGAGAAAGAUUUAUCGCUGUUGGAGGGGCCCGCGUCGGAUUAGCUAGUUGGUGAGGUAACGGCUCACCAAGGCGACGAUCCGUAGCUGGUCUGAGAGGAUGAUCAGCCACACUGGGACUUAGACACGGCCCAGACUCCUGCGGGAGGCAGCAGUGGGGAAUAUUGGACAAUGGGGGCAACCCUGAUCCAGCAAUGCCGCGUGAGUGAUGAAGGCCUUAGGGUUGUAAAGCUCUUUUACCGGGGACGAUGAUGACGGUACCCGGAGAAUAAGCCCCGGCUAACUUCGUGCCAGCAGCCGCCGU